rnacentral:tRNA from 1 species
UGCUCAAAUAGCUUAUAAACAUAGAGCGUAGCACUGAAGGUGCUAAGGAGGCGCGGGCGUCUUUGAGCAG